AGAGUUUGAUCCUGGCUCAGAACGAACGCUGGCGGCAUGCCUAAUACAUGCAAGUCGAACGCGUGGAGCAAUCCACGAGUGGCGGACGGGUGAGUAACGCGUGGGAACCUGCCCUUGAGUGCGGGAUAACCGAGGGAAACUUCGGCUAAUACCGCAUGCGCCCCCUCACGGGGGGAAAGAUUUAUCGCUCGAGGAGGGGC
rnacentral:rRNA from 1 species